rnacentral:rRNA from 1 species
GACGAACGUUGGCGGCGUGCUUAAUACAUGCAAGUCAACUGAAGCAGUGGUAGCAAUAUCGCUGUGGAGGUGGCGCACGGGUGAGUAACACGUAGGUAAUCUGCCUUCAGGUCUGGCAUAACUCCGGGAAACCGGGGCUAAUAGCAGAUGAUGCAGCGGCUCGACAUCGAGACAGUUGUUAAAGCUAUGGCGCCUGAAGAUGAGCCUGCGUCUGAUUAGCUAGUUGGCGGGGUAACGGCCCACCAAGGCAACGAUCAGUAGCUGGUCUGUGAGGAUGAUCAGCCACACUGGAACUGAGACACGGUCCAGACUCCUACGGGAGGCAGCAGCAAGGAAUAUUGCUCAAUGGGAGAAAUCCUGAAGCAGCAACGCCGCGUGAGGGACGAAGGGCUUUUGCUUGUAAACCUCUGUAGUGAGAGAAAAAAAUCCCAAUCUUUGGGACAUGAUGGUAUCUCAAAAGUAAGCCCCGGCUAACUACGUG